UACGUAGGGGGCUAGCGUUGUUCGGAAUUACUGGGCGUAAAGGGCGCGUAGGCGGCCUACUAAGUCGGACGUGAAAUCCCUCGGCUCAACCGGGGAACUGCGUCCGAUACUGGUGGGCUCGAAUCCGGGAGAGGGAUGUGGAAUUCCAGGUGUAGCGGUGAAAUGCGUAGAUAUCUGGAGGAACACCGGUGGCGAAGGCGGCAUCCUGGACCGGUAUUGACGCUGAUGCGCGAAAGCCAGGGGAGCAA
rnacentral:rRNA from 1 species